UACGGAGGGUGCAAGCGUUAAUCGGAAUUACUGGGCGUAAAGCGUGCGCAGGCGGUUUUGGAAGUUUGUCGUGAAAGCCCCGGGCUCAACCUGGGAAUUGCGAUGAAGACUGCAAGGCUUGAAUCUGGCAGAGGGGGGUAGAAUUCCACGUGUAGCAGUGAAAUGCGUAGAGAUGUGGAGGAACACCGAUGGCGAAGGCAGCCCCCUGGGUCAAGAUUGACGCUCAUGCACGAAAGCGUGGGGAGCAAACAGG
rnacentral:rRNA from 1 species